AUUGAACGCUGGCGGCAGGCCUAACACAUGCAAGUCGAACGGUAACAGGAAGAAGCUUGCUUCUUUGCUGACGAGUGGCGGACGGGUGAGUAAUGUCUGGGAAACUGCCUGAUGGAGGGGGAUAACUACUGGAAACGGUAGCUAAUACCGCAUAACGUCGCAAGACCAAAGAGGGGGACCUUCGGGCCUCUUGCCAUCGGAUGUGCCCAGAUGGGAUUAGCUAGUAGGUGGGGUAACGGCUCACCUAGGCGACGAUCCCUAGCUGGUCUGAGAGGAUGACCAGCCACACCGGAACUGAGACACGGUCCAGACUCCUACGGGAGGCAGCAGUGGGGAAUAUUGCACAAUGGGCGCAAGCCUGAUGCAGCCAUGCCGCGUGUAUGAAGAAGGCCUUCGGGUUGUAAAGUACUUUCAGCGGGGAGGAAGGGAGUAAAGUUAAUACCUUUGCUCAUUGACGUUACCCGCAGAAGAAGCACCGGCUAACUCCGUG
rnacentral:rRNA from 1 species